UACAGAGGUCUCAAGCGUUGUUCGGAUUCAUUGGGCGUAAAGGGUGCGUAGGCGGCGCGGUAAGUCGGGUGUGAAAUCUCGGGGCUUAACUCCGAAACUGCAUUCGAUACUGCCGUGCUUGAGGACUGGAGAGGAGACCGGAAUUUACGGUGUAGCGGUGAAAUGCGUAGAUAUCGUAAGGAAGACCAGUGGCGAAGGCGGGUCUCUGGACAGUCCCUGACGCUGAGGCACGAAGGUCAGGGGAGCAAACGGG
rnacentral:rRNA from 1 species